UAUAGUAUACAUAGUACAUAUAUAUAUAUAUAUAUAGUAUAUUAGUGUGUGUAAGUAGCCUGCACUGCUAUAGAAUGUUCGUAUGAGUGUUCUAAAGGUGAUUGCGAUUGUUUGAAUGGAGUGUUCUAAAGGUGAUUCAGAAUCUGCAUUGUGAUUGGUUGAGUGGAGUGUUCUAAAGGUGAUUCAGAAUCUGCAUUUUGAUUGGUUGAGUGGAGUAUUCUACAGGUGAUGUCAUCGCAGGCGCUCAGCAGAAAUAGCUGCUUGCUGCAGUUUUGUAUCAGUUGGAUGGUUCGUUGUUGGAGAGAGCAGUUGAAAAAAGAGUGCUACUCAUAUCUACAGACAACUGAAGAUGGUGUUCAUGCUGAGAGCUUUGAUUGUUCCAGGUGUGCUCGCAGUCGCUGGCUGCUGCUGGUGGUGGUACAGCUCUUGCAAAGAAACUAGAGCUACCACCCAAGACAGUGAGGAGGAGGAGGAUGAGCUUUCUUCCUCUAGUGAAGAUGGACAGGUUGCUCAGUCUGAGAUUGGUCUUAUUUCACCUUCCAUCUUGACUGCAGCACCUGUCUCAAGCUCAGAGGAACUCCCCCUUCUCGACAAGGUGGACGACAGCCAGCCAGCAGAGAGGUGUGAGGAGAAAAGGCAGCUUGAGGUGCUAACCACCAUUACAGAGGAUCCUCAGACUGAAGAGACACCAGAGUCUGCUGUAGAGCUACCAGAGCUCAGAUUAACUGAUCAGCUUUCUUCCUCUAGUGAAGAAGGACAGGGUGCUCCGUCUGAGAUUGGGAUUAUUUCACCUUCCAUCUUGACUGCAGCACCUGUCUCAAGCUCAGAGGAACUCCCCCUUCUCGACAAGGUGGACGACAGCCAGCCAGCAGAGAGGUGUGAGGAGAAAAGGCAGCUUGAGGUGCUAACCACCAUUACAGAGGAUCCUCAGACUGAAGAGACACCAGAGUCUGCUGUAGAGCUACCAGAGCUCAGAUUAACUGAUCAGCUUUCUUCCUCUAGUGAAGAAGGACAGGGUGCUCCGUCUGAGAUUGGGAUUAUUUCACCUUCCAUUUCGACUGCAGCACCUGUCAUAGAAGGCUCAGAGGAACUCGUCCUUCUCGACAGUGUAGACAACAGCCAGCCAGCAGAGAGGUGUGAGGAGAAAAAGCAGCUUGAGGAACCAUCCACCAUAAUAGAGGGUCCUCAAACUGAAGAGACACCAGAGUCUGCUGUAGAGCUACCAGAGCUCAGAUUAACUGAUCAGCUUUCUUCCUCUAGUGAAGAAGGACAGGGUGCUCCGUCUGAGAUUGGUAUUGUUUCACCUUCCAUUUCGACUGCAGCACCUGUCAUAGAAGGCUCAGAGGAACUCGUCCUUCUCGACAGUGUAGACAACAGCCAGCCAGCAGAGAUGUGUGAACANNNNNNNNNNNNNNNNNNNNNNNNNNNNNNNNNNNNNNNNNNNNNNNNNNNNNNNNNNNNNNNNNNNNNNNNN
rnacentral:lncRNA from 1 species